AAAAAAGAGACCUGAUAAGAAGAUGAAAAAAAGAGAUAACAGGACACGAAGAACAGCUGUCUCUUAACUGAUGUAGAGAGAGAGGAACUAAAGCAAACAUGCCCCCACCAGCUACCACAAACCUGGGCUACACCCCUCCAGAUGGAGGCUGGGGCUGGGCCGUGGUGUUUGGAUCCUUCAUCUCCAUCGGCUUCUCUUACGCCUUCACCAAAUCCCUUACCAUCUACUUCAAGGAAAUCCAGUGUGGAGUAUUUCUCCAUCUCCUACAGUGAGAUAGCCUGGGUCUCCUCCAUCAUGCUGGCUACCUUGCAUGCAGGAGGCUUUGGCUUCGCUUUUAACCUGCAACCAGCUCUUACCAUAAUCGGACUUCCUGUCCACCCUGGCUCCCCUCAACCAGUUUCUCUUUGACCAUUUUGGAUGGCGAGGAUGGAAGCUUCCUCAUCCUUAGAGGAGUGGUGCUCAACUGCUAAAACUGCCAGUGAGCAAAACCACUGAUAAGAACCAUGCAGGAAACUGGACGUCACAUCUCAGACAGCUGGACAAAACAAGUCCAAGCAGUCAGGCUGUGCCGCAAAUGUCAACCAAUUCA